UUCUUAUCAAGAGUGGUGGAGGGAAUGGCCCUAUGAAGCCCGGCAGCCGCUGACGUUUGUCAGAAAGGUGCUACAUCCAGCGGGAGCUUGUUUGUUUCCUGAGAGAUAAGAU
rnacentral:ncRNA from 2 species